GAUGAAGAACGCAGCAAAAUGCGAUAAGUAAUGUGAAUAGCAGAAUUCAGUGAAUCAUCGAAUCUUUGAACGCACAUUGCGCCCGCUGGUAUUCCGGCGGGCAUGCCUGUUCGAGCGUCAUUUCAACCCUCAAGCCCCCGGGUUUGGUGUUGGGGAUCGGCUCUGCCCUUCUGGGCGGUGCCGCCCCCGAAAUACAUUGGCGGUCUCGCUGCAGCCUCCAUUGCGUAGUAGCUAACACCUCGCAACUGGAACGCGGCGCGGCCAUGCCGUAAAACCCCAACUUCUGAAUGUUGACCUCGGAUCAGGUAGGAAUACCCGCUGAACUUAAGCAUAUCAAUAAGCGGAGGA
rnacentral:misc_RNA from 1 species